GACAUAGGUCGCAAACGUUAUCCGGAAUUAUUGGGCGUAAAGGGUGCGUAGAUGGCGUAAUAAGUUAUCAGUGGUAAAUCGGGGCUCAACCUCGUGGAAGCUGGUAAUACUGUUAUGCUUGAGUGCAGAAGAGGUUAACGGAACUCCAUGUGGAGCGGUAAAAUGCGUAGAUAUAUGGAAGAACACCAAUAACGGCGAAGGCAGUUAACUAUUCUGUUACUGACAUUGAGGCACGAAAGCGUGGGGAGCAAAAAGG
rnacentral:rRNA from 1 species